GUAUAUGGCCAAACCUGCUCGUAAAUGCCCUGCUGUCAGAUCUCAGAAGCUAAGCCGGGUUGGGCCUGGUUACUACUCAGAUGGGAGACCACUGGGAACACCAGGUGCCACA
rnacentral:rRNA from 1 species